AUUGAACGCUGGCGGCAGGCCUAACACAUGCAAGUCGAACGGUAACAGGAAGCAGCUUGCUGCUUCGCUGACGAGUGGCGGACGGGUGAGUAAUGUCUGGGAAGCUGCCUGAUGGAGGGGGAUAACUACUGGAAACGGUAGCUAAUACCGCAUAAUGUCGCAAGACCAAAGAGGGGGACCUUCGGGCCUCUUGCCAUCGGAUGUGCCCAGAUGGGAUUAGCUUGUUGGUGGGGUAACGGCUCACCAAGGCGACGAUCCCUAGCUGGUCUGAGAGGAUGACCAGCCACACUGGAACUGAGACACGGUCCAGACUCCUACGGGAGGCAGCAGUGGGGAAUAUUGCACAAUGGGCGCAAGCCUGAUGCAGCCAUGCCGCGUGUAUGAAGAAGGCCUUCGGGUUGUAAGUACUUUCAGCGGGGAGGAAGGGAGUAAAGUUAAUACCUUUGCUCAUUGACGUUACCCGCAGAAGAAGCACCGGCUAACUCCGUG
rnacentral:rRNA from 1 species